GAACGCUAGCUACAGGCUUAACACAUGCAAGUCGAGGGGCAGCAUGGUCUUAGCUUGCUAAGGCCGAUGGCGACCGGCGCACGGGUGAGUAACACGUAUCCAACCUGCCGUCUACUCUUGGACAGCCUUCUGAAAGGAAGAUUAAUACAAGAUGGCAUCAUGAGUCCGCAUGUUCACAUGAUUAAAGGUAUUCCGGUAGACGAUGGGGAUGCGUUCCAUUAGAUAGUAGGCGGGGUAACGGCCCACCUAGUCUUCGAUGGAUAGGGGUUCUGAGAGGAAGGUCCCCCACAUUGGAACUGAGACACGGUCCAAACUCCUACGGGAGGCAGCAGUGAGGAAUAUUGGUCAACGGGCGAGAGCCUGAACCAGCCAAGUAGCGUGAAGGAUGACUGCCCUAUGGGUUGUAAACUUCUUUUAUAAAGGAAUAAAGUCGGGUAUGGAUACCCGUUUGCAUGUACUUUAUGAAUAAGGAUCGGCUAACUCCGUGCCAGCAGCCGCGGUAAUACGGAGGAUCCGAGCGUUAUCCGGAUUUAUUGGGUUUAAAGGGAGCGUAGAUGGAUGUUUAAGUCAGUUGUGAAAGUUUGCGGCUCAACCGUAAAAUUGCAGUUGAUACUGGAUAUCUUGAGUGCAGUUGAGGCAGGCGGAAUUCGUGGUGUAGCGGUGAAAUGCUUAGAUAUCACGAAGAACUCCGAUUGCGAAGGCAGCCUGCUAAGCUGCAACUGACAUUGAGGCUCGAAAGUGUGGGUAUCAAACAGGAUUAGAUACCCUGGUAGUCCACACGGUAAACGAUGAAUACUCGCUGUUUGCGAUAUACUGCAAGCGGCCAAGCGAAAGCGUUAAGUAUUCCACCUGGAGAGUACGCCGGCAACGGUGAAACUCAAAGGAAUUGACGGGGGCCCGCACAAGCGGAGGAACAUGUGGUUUAAUUCGAUGAUACGCGAGGAACCUUACCCGGGCUUAAAUUGCAGAUGAAUUACGGUGAAAGCCGUAAGCCGCAAGGCAUCUGUGAAGGUGCUGCAUGGUUGUCGUCAGCUCGUGCCGUGAAGUGUCGGCUUAAGUGCCAUAACGAGCGCAACCCUUGUUGUCAGUUACUAACAGGUUCCGCUGAGGACUCUGACAAGACUGCCAUCGUAAGAUGUGAGGAAGGUGGGGAUGACGUCAAAUCAGCACGGCCCUUACGUCCGGGGCUACACACGUGUUACAAUGGGGGGUACAGAGGGUCGCUACCACGCGAGUGGAUGCCAAUCCCCAAAACCUCUCUCAGUUCGGACUGGAGUCUGCAACCCGACUCCACGAAGCUGGAUUCGCUAGUAAUCGCGCAUCAGCCACGGCGCGGUGAAUACGUUCCCGGGCCUUGUACACACCGCCCGUCAAGCCAUGGGAGCCGGGGGUACCUGAAGUGCGUAACCGCGAGGAGCGCCCUAGGGUAAAACUGGUGACUGGGGCUAAG
rnacentral:rRNA from 1 species